rnacentral:tRNA from 1 species
GCCUGGCUGGCUCUGUGGGAAGAGCAUGCGACUCUUGAUCUUGGGGUUGUGAGUUCGAGCCCCAUGUUGGGUG